GAUUCAUUAGCUUAAUUGGUUAGAGCAUUAUGUUAAUAACCUGAAAGUUAUAAGUUUGAUUCUUGUUUGAGUCA
rfam:Glycine max cultivar Williams 82 chromosome 3, whole genome shotgun sequence.